CAGCAACCCUCUGAACAUCUAGAACUCCAUAAACCUGCAAAAAGAUUGCACUUGUCUCAUAUUUAGAACCAGCAGAUUAGAGAUGGAGCUUCAACACAGGAGCCACAAAUACCUUGGUGCAAAGGAGAAGGGAAUCGCAACUGACGAGGUGGUAAGUAUUAAAAAAUUAAUAAAAUGAACGUAGUUCAUGAUGUGGUGGUGCACAUUGGAGAUGGAGCUUCGACACAGGAGCCACAAAUGACUUGGUGCAAAGAAAUGGAGAAAGGAAUCGCAACUGACAAGGUGGUAAGAGGAAGAAUUGUAAUGGUUUUUGCAACCGAUCCAAGAAAAAGGUGCUACUGAGAUCGAGGUGGAGGCUGGCUGGCCGGUGCAAAGAUUGAGGUGGACGGAGAUGAAGUAGAGAAGGGAAUAUGGUCUUUAUAAAUGGGAGUGACAAAGACCGCUUGGAGAGAAUACAAAGGAAAAGAAAUGAGGAAUGCUUGCAUUCUAGAGUUUGAAAUGAACGUCUUUUUUCAUAGAGAGAGAAACUACUUUAAAUAGUAGUAUUUUUGCACGCUAGCACGUUAUAUACUUUCUUAAUGCAAUUUUCAUUCUUUCAA